GACGAACGCUGGCGGCGUGCCUAAUACAUGCAAGUCGAGCGAACCAAUAAGAAGCUUGCUUUUUGUUGGUUAGCGGCGGACGGGUGAGUAACACGUGGGUAACCUGCCUGUAAGACCGGGAUAACUCCGGGAAACCGGUGCUAAUACCGGAUAGAUUAUCUUUCCGCCUGGAGAGAUAAGGAAAGAUGGCUUUUGCCAUCACUUACAGAUGGGCCCGCGGCGCAUUAGCUAGUUGGUGAGGUAACGGCUCACCAAGGCGACGAUGCGUAGCCGACCUGAGAGGGUGAUCGGCCACACUGGGACUGAGACACGGCCCAGACUCCUACGGGAGGCAGCAGUAGGGAAUCUUCCGCAAUGGACGAAAGUCUGACGGAGCAACGCCGCGUGAGCGAAGAAGGUCUUCGGAUCGUAAAGCUCUGUUGUUAGGGAAGAACAAGUAUCGGAGGAAAUGCCGGUACCUUGACGGUACCUGACGAGAAAGCCACGGCUAACUAC
rnacentral:rRNA from 1 species